UAGAUAGGGCGAACGAACCCGAUACCGGUGCGAGCAAGUAGGAGGAGAAUUUCAAUCGAAGUACAGAUUUUUCUUGAAAUCGAGGAUAAUGAUGUUAUUACCAGCUGAUUAAGGAGGAGUAGUGUAAGUGUCAGAUGGGUACGAACGUCAUCUUGUGACAGCAUCACCUUUGUUUGGCUAAAGUACAAGAGAACUGCAGCAUGUAAGACUACAUGUACAUCGACUUUGAAUAAUCUACCUGGUAUAUCCUCAAAAAGGCAACUCAAAUACAGAAAGUGCAUAUAAUUUGGAAAAGAGACCAUCAAUCCACUGGGGGGUAUCGCAUGAAAGCAAUGAUUAUAGAAUAUUGUAAGGUUGGAGGAUCGAGUUAUAGUACAACAGGCAG